rnacentral:rRNA from 1 species
UACGGAGGGUGCAAGCGUUAUCCGGAUUCACUGGGUUUAAAGGGUGCGUAGGCGGGCAGGUAAGUCAGUGGUGAAAUCUCCGAGCUUAACUCGGAAACUGCCAUUGAUACUAUUUAUCUUGAAUACUUUGGAGGUAAGCGGAAUAUGUCAUGUAGCGGUGAAAUGCUUAGAUAUGACAUAGAACACCAAUUGCGAAGGCAGCUUACUACACAGUUAUUGACACUGAGGCACGAAAGCGUGGGGAUCAAACAGG